UUUGCGGCAGGAAUAGGAGAAGAAAGACAAAAGCUAAAGCAAAAUCAUCUCAGAUCAAUGCACUGGACCACCUCCAAUCUUCCAAUCCUUUAUUACACAAAGCAGUGGAGACAAGACUGACUUGCCUUCCAAGGAGCUGUGCUAUGAAAAAAAAGAGCUGAGUUUUCAGGUCAGACAGCAAUUCAAAUAUCAACAACUCCCUUGCCAAAUGAUCCUGAACAUCAUGUUCCCACCCUUGAAUUCAAGUCAUGAGCAUCCUUGUGAGCAGGAAGAGCAGCUAAGUGAUAUGGAGGAUAGAAGAAGUUGCUUUCCAGAUGGGAAGAGCUUAUAAAUAUGUGACAAAAUGAAGAUGUUAAAAGG